CUGAGAGUAGCUUAAUGGUAGAGCGCGAGUCUCAUAAGCUCGGUGGUGCGGGUUCGAAUCCCGUCUCUCAACCCA
rnacentral:tRNA from 1 species